rnacentral:rRNA from 1 species
AUUGAACGCUGGCGGCAUGCCUUACACAUGCAAGUCGAACGGCAGCACGGGAGCAAUCCUGGUGGCGAGUGGCGAACGGGUGAGUAAUAUAUCGGAACGUGCCCGGUCGUGGGGGAUAACGUAGCGAAAGCUACGCUAAUACCGCAUACGAUCUACGGAUGAAAGCGGGGGAUCGCAAGACCUCGCGCGAUUGGAGCGGCCGAUAUCAGAUUAGGUAGUUGGUGAGGUAAAGGCUCACCAAGCCGACGAUCUGUAGCUGGUCUGAGAGGACGACCAGCCACACUGGGACUGAGACACGGCCCAGACUCCUCCGGGAGGCAGCAGUGGGGAAUUUUGGACAAUGGGCGCAAGCCUGAUCCAGCAAUGCCGCGUGCAGGAUGAAGGCCUUCGGGUUGUAAACUGCUUUUGUACGGAACGAAACGGUGAGCUCUAAUACAGUUUGCUAAUGACGGUACCGUAAGAAUAAGCACCGGCUAACUACGUG